rnacentral:rRNA from 1 species
GCCAGACUCCUACGGGAGGCAGCAGUGGGGAAUAUUGCACAAUGGGGGAAACCCUGGUGCAGCGACGCCGCGUGAGUGAUGAAGUCUUUCGGUAUGUAAAGCUCUAUCAGCAGGGAAGAUAAUGACGGUACCUGACUAAGAAGCUCCGGCUAAAUACGUGCCAGCAGCCGCGGUAAUACGUAGGGGGCAAGCGUUAUCCGGAUUUACUGGGUGUAAAGGGAGCGUAGACGGCAGCGCAAGUCUGGAGUGAAAUCCCAUGGCUUAACCAUGGAACUGCUUUGGAAACUGUGCAGCUGGAGUGCAGGAGAGGUAAGCGGAAUUCCUAGUGUAGCGGUGAAAUGCGUAGAUAUUAGGAGGAACACCAGUGGCGAAGGCGGCUUACUGGACUGUAACUGACGUUGAGGCUCGAAAGCGUGGGGAGCAAACAGGAUUAGAUACCCCAGUA